GACGAACGCUGGCGGCGUGCUUAACACAUGCAAGUCGAACGAAGAGCGAUGGAAGCUUGCUUCUAUCAAUCUUAGUGGCGAACGGGUGAGUAACGCGUAAUCAACCUGCCCUUCAGAGGGGGACAACAGUUGGAAACGACUUGCUAAUACCGCAUACGAUCUAACCUCGGCAUCGAGGAAAGAUGAAAGGUGGCCUCUAUUUAUAAGCUAUCACUGAAGGAGGGGAUUGCGUCUGAUUAGCUAGUUGGAGGGGUAACGGCCCACCAAGGCGAUGAUCAGUAGCCGGUCUGAGAGGAUGAACGGCCACAUUGGGACUGAGACACGGCCCAGACUCCUACGGGAGGCAGCAGUGGGGAAUCUUCCGCAAUGGACGAAAGUCUGACGGAGCAACGCCGCGUGAGUGAUGACGGCCUUCGGGUUGUAAAGCUCUGUUAAUCGGGACGAAAGGCCUUCUUGCGAACAGUUAGAAGGAUUGACGGUACCG
rnacentral:rRNA from 1 species